CGAGGACGGGAGUGGAGGGAACCUAGCCAAAGUGCACGCCCCGCGGGCAGCGUGGGCGUGUUUGAUCGUAACCCUGCCUCCGCCAGGAAAGCCGCGGGGUCGGCGGCUGGAGGGCCCUGGGCGGUGGCUGAGGGGGCGGGCGGCCCGGGCGGCGCCGCGUCUCCGUCCUUAUAAGGGAUUCAAGUCAGCCCAGCCAUUUGGAAUGUGGCGGGGACCGGGAGGCGGUGCUGGGACCCCCGCCCUGCUCGCGGAUUCCGGCGGGGGAAGGAGGGGCAGAGCCCGGACGCCAGGUCCCAGGAGGAGAAGCCUGCACGUUCGAAUUUCUGGGUCCUUCAAAAUGGACUGAAGACAUUUGGAAUCCCUCUGCACCCAAGAAUCCUGGACGCUGCUCCCACUCUCGGGGGUUCCCGCAGCCUCACCUUACGGGCCUGUGGCGGCUGCGGCUGGAGCAGAGGCGACAGCUGCAGGCUAGGAGGGUCUGCGGUCUGGUGUGUGAUACCAACUGCAUUUCGAAUGCUCAAUGGCCACACAUGGCUCAUGGCUACCAUAUUGGACAAUGCAGGUCUAGAAAAGAUCCGGAAGCAAGGCCUGUCAUUUGCAAACCAGAGCCCCUGCAGGAGACCCUC